UACGGAGGGGACUAGCGUUGUUCGGAAUUACUGGGCGUAAAGCGCACGUAGGCGGAUUUGUAAGUUAGGGGUGAAAUCCCGGGGCUCAACCUCGGAACUGCCUUUGAUACUGCAAAUCUCGAGUCCGGAGAGGUGAGUGGAAUCGUAGUGUAGAGGUGAAAUUCGUAGAUAUUAGGAAGAACACCAGUGGCGAAGGCGGCUCACUG
rnacentral:rRNA from 1 species